rnacentral:rRNA from 1 species
AACGAACGCUGGCGGCAUGCCUAACACAUGCAAGUCGAACGAGACCUUCGGGUCUAGUGGCGCACGGGUGCGUAACGCGUGGGAACCUGCCUUUAGGUUCGGAAUAACUCAGAGAAAUUUGAGCUAAUACCGGAUGAUGUCUUCGGACCAAAGAUUUAUCGCCUUUAGAUGGGCCCGCGUUGGAUUAGCUAGUUGGUGGGGUAAAGGCCUACCAAGGCGACGAUCCAUAGCUGGUCUGAGAGGAUGAUCAGCCACACUGGGACUGAGACACGGCCCAGACUCCUACGGGAGGCAGCAGUGGGGAAUAUUGGACAAUGGGCGAAAGACUGAUCCAGCAAUGCCGCGUGAGUGAUGAAGGACUUAGGGUUGUAAAGCUCUUUUACCCGAGAUGAUAAUGACAGUAGUGGGAGAAUAAGCUCCGGCUAACUCCGUG